rnacentral:rRNA from 1 species
UGGCGGACGGGUGAGUAAUGUCUGGGAAACUGCCCGGUGGAGGGGGAUAACUACUGGAAACGGUAGCUAAUACCGCAUAACGUCGCAAGACCAAAGAGGGGGACCUUCGGGCCUCUUGCCACCGGAUGUGCCCAGAUGGGAUUAGCUUGUUGGUGAGGUAACGGCUCACCAAGGCGACGAUCCCUAGCUGGUCUGAGAGGAUGACCAGCCACACUGGAACUGAGACACGGUCCAGACUCCUACGGAAGGCAGCAG